GCCAGUGUGGCAUAGUGAUUUGAUUACUGGACUACAAUUCUGGAGACCAGGGUUUGAUUCCCCGCUUGGCCA